GUCGAUCAUGGCGGUGGUUUCUAAACCCAAUUUUUUCCAGAAGAUUUUCCCCACGUUUCCCCCCAAUUUUUCCCCCCAAUUUUUUCCUCGAGUACGACAAACAAAAACCAUUAUGGAGAAACCCAUCUCCUUCAGCUCUCUUACUCUCAACCGUUCAGCUCUCUCUAGAAACGAUUUAUGCGACGGCUCCUUCUCCUCUCGCUCGCAUCUUUCCCUUAUUUGCCUUCAUCGUGUGACAGCGCCUUCACUGAGAUCUUCAAUUACCCUCGAAAGAUCGGCAACAGUGACAUGGUUGUGGAGCUUGUAUCAAGCUGAUUGUUAGAAGUGCUCCCUUCAAUCCAAUAGUAUUUUUUCUUGGUAUUUUAGAAUCUACAAGAGAUGGAUAGAUCCUGGAUGCUCAAGGAUAGAAGAUCAAAAGACUAUGAGGAAGGGGUUGAAAGUUUUCUGAAAUUUGCUAUUAUGCAUGGUCAAGAUCCCCAAUCCAUACGAUGUCCGUGUAGACUAUGUGGGAACAUGAGAAAACAAUCCAUUCAGGAGAUUAGAAAUCAUCUCUUUUUCAAUGGUAUUGACCAAAGUUAUGAUACAUGGAUAUGGCAUGGCGAAGCGGCUACCACCACACCACCACCAUGUGUCAAUCCGCCUGAGUUUUUUGGUGAGAAAAUUGAGACGCCUCCCUUAAAUGUUACAGCAGAGGUAAGAGAAAUGGUUGAGGCUGCAUACAAUGACUGCGCGACUGAUCCUGAUAAGUUUAAAAAAUUACUUGAAGAUGCUGAAAAACAGUUGUAUCCCGGUUGCAUGAAGUUUACAAAGUUAUCUGCCUUAGUUAGGUUAUUUAACUUCAAAGCUGGAAGUGGGUUGUCUAAUAAAUGGUUUUCAAAUCUCCUAGAGAUAAUCAGUGAGUUGCUUCCUGCCAGCAAUGAACUACCAGUAUCCAUGUAUGAGGCGGGGAAGACUUUGGCUGCAUUGGGUAUGGAAUAUGAGAAAAUACAUGCUUGUCCCAAUGAUUGUAUGCUCUACAGAAAGGAGUUCAAAGAUGAGAUUUCAUGCCCUACAUGUCAAACGUCUAGAUGGAAGUUGAAAAAAAAUUCAACAGAAGUUAGAACUGGCGUGCCUGCAAAAGUUAUAUGGUAUUUUCCACCUAUUCCGAGGUUCCGAAACAUGUAUAGGUCGGUAGAAACAGCGGAGAACUUGACAUGGCAUGCACGUCAAAGAGAAUGUGAUGGCCAACUACGUCACCCAGCAGACUCCCCAUCAUGGAAGUUGGUGGACAACAUGUGGCCAGAUUUUGCUGCAGAGCCAAGAAACUUUCGCCUAGCUCUUUCUGCUGAUGGAAUAAAUCCGUACAGUUCCCUUAGCAGUAGGUACAGUUGUUGGCCAGUUAUACUUGUCACCUACAAUCUUCCUCCGCGGUUGUGCAUGAAGAGAAAAUUUAUGAUGCUAACAUUAUUGAUAUCUGGUCCAAAACAACCUGGUAAUGACAUUGAUGUUUAUCUUGCACUGUUGAUUGAUGAUUUGAAAAUGUUAUGGGAGGUAGGCGUUGAAGCAUUUGAUGCUUACCAGCAACAACAUUUCAGGUUAAAGGCUGUACUAUUAUGGACAAUUAAUGAUCUCCCCGCGUAUGGAAAUUUGAGCGGUUGCACGGUGAAGGGCUAUUAUGGAUGUCCAAUUUGUGGUGAGGAAACUUCUUCUAGUAGAUUGAAACAUUCCAAGAAGAAUAUAUAUACAGGUCAUAGAAGAUUUCUUUCACGCUAUCAUCCAUAUCGGAGGCAAAAAAAGGCUUUCAAUGGAGAGCAAGAUUUCAGAGUCCCCCCUGUACCGUUAACGGGAGAGGAGGUAUUACGAAAGGUUGAAGGGAUUGAAACAAUAUGGGGGAAAAAAAACAAAACAAAAAGUUCACCAAAUGACGCAUGUACAAAGUGUUGGAAGAAAAAGUCAAUUUUUUUUAAACUUGAGUAUUGGAAGUACUUGUUAGUCCGACACAUCGUGGAUACUAUGCACACUGAGAAGAACUUUUUAGAAGCACUCCUUGGGACGUUACUGAACAUUCCUGGAAAAACAAAGGAUGGAAUUAAUGCUCGCCUUGACCAUGUAGCUAUGGGUGGAUCGGAAGAGUUAGCACCAGAAAUUGGAGCCAAGCGAACAUACUUACCUCCAGCAUGUUAUACUUUGUCUAGAGAGGAGAAAAGAAGAGUUUGCAAAACAUUGUCUGAACUCAAGGUUCCCGAAGGUUACUCUUCGAAUAUCAGAAGUCGUGUCUCGAUGGAGGAUCUGAAACUUUAUGGUCUCAAGUCGCAUGAUUGUCAUGUUUUAAUGCAGCAGUUACUACCUGUGGCAAUAAGAUCUGUGCUGCCAAAGGAAGUGAGAUACGCGAUUAUCAGAAUAUGUUUCUUUUUUAAUGCUAUUUGUAGUAAAGUGAUAGAUGUGUCAAAGUUAGACAAAAUGCAAUCUGAUAUGGUGAUCACAUUAUGUUUACUUGAAAAGUACUUUCCACCAUCAUUCUUUGAUAUCAUGGUUCAUUUGACGGUGCAUCUUGUUAGAGAAGUUCGACUUUGUGGUCCAGUUCACUUUCGAUGGAUGUAUCCAUUUGAGAGGUUCAUGAAGGUCUUAAAAGGUUAUGUUCGUAAUCGUAACUGUCCCGAGGGUUGCAUUGCUGAAAGUUAUAUUAUGGAGGAAGCUGUUGAGUUUUGCACAGAGUAUUUAUCUGGGUUAGAUGCAAUUGGGAUUCCCACCGCCAGGAACAUGACAGUUGAUAAUAGAGAAAUUGAAAGACCUUUACCAGGUGGCCAUGUUGUGACUAUUGAUCGCGAAGCAUGGCAGCAAGCACAUCAUUACGUGUUAGAGAACACAAGCGAUGUUCAACCUUAUAUUGAGAAGCACAUGGAGUGGUUGAAGCAACAAAAUCCUCGUCAAUCUAAAAGUCAAAAGUGGCUACAGGUUCAACAUAAUAAAACAUUCUUUAAUUGGCUACGUGAAAAGGUUGCAGAGGAAAUAAAUUCCGAAAAUAAUCUCUCUAAUGCCUUAAAGUGGAUAGCACAAGGACCGAGCCGAAAUGUGAUAAAGUAUCCAGGUUACAUCAUAAACGGUUGUCGUUACCACACGAAAGAUCGCGAUAAUUCACGAGUCACCCAAAAUAGUGGAGUUACCAUGGUGGCAACUACAAUGCAAGUUACUGGCUACAAGGACAAGAAUCCUGUUUACGCAGAUAUGAGUUUCUAUGGGGUCAUUACAGAAAUAUGGCAGCUGGAUUAUAAUGCAUUAAGGAUUCCCGUAUUUAAGUGUGAUUGGGUGGACAACAAGAGAGUUAAAGUGGAUGAACUUGGUUUCACACUAGUUGAGCUUGGAAAGAUAGGGCACAAAUCUGAUUCCUUCAUUUUGGCUUCACAGGCCAAACAAGUUUUUUAUGUUGAAGAUCAACUUGAUCCGAAAUGGUCAAUUGUCCUAGAACCUCCUCAACGUCGAUAUCAUAGCGACGGUGGUGAUGAGCUUGAUGAUUGGUUUGUUGAGCGUCAAGACAUAACACUGCCAGAAGUUGACACAACUGAUGAUGGAUCAGACGACUCUAUUUCAUCUCACAUACGAGCAGAUUGUGAAGGGACGUGGAUCAACAAUACAUCAUGAAAUGACAAAUGUUUUGCUCUCUUUUGGAAAUAACUUAUUAGAUUUAAGUAUUUAACUAUGUUUUAUUUGUUCUAGCUGUGAUGAGAAAUUUUAAUUGGUCUCAAUUCAAUAUUCCUUGUUAUGUUUCUAUGCUUAAUGGUUGGAAUGUUAUGUUUCUAUAUUCUCCAAUGUCAAUUUAUGUCCAUGUAUCUAAGAUAUUUUGCUUAGCUAUUCAUUGUUAGAUGCUCUAUUACGAUGUUUUAGUAGUAUUGUUCAACCUCUACUAUACUAUCCCAUAUUUGCAUCUCAAACAGGAUGGAGUCGCUGACUUAUUUUUGUUGAUUUUUGAAAUUUCUAACUUAGGGAGCGUCGAAAAACCUUGCAAUGGAUGGGAA